GCAAUUUUCACACUCGCAUUGACGUGGACCCACUUUUACUUUUACUUCCGAUCCAACGAGAUCAAUUAUUUCCAAUCAAUCUGGUCAACUUUGCCCAAAAAACUAUUAGUUUUCAUUAUUUUAUCAGUGUUCUUCUUUUCGUACUGAAUUUUAUGGUGCACUUACAGGUUUGUUGGUAAAGUAGGGCCUGCAUUAUGAAAGAUUCUCCGAAUAAGGAUGCACAUAGCCAGCUCUUAUUUCCAUUCUAGAAGAGUUGGACCCUUAUUACUCUGAAUAAACAAAAAAUUGAAAGAUUUAAUGAACCGACGUUAAACCAAAGUUAAAGGAAAUGGACAAAAAGAAUCUAUCUGCCGCAAGGAGAAAGUUGGAAGAAUACAAACUGCACAAGGCAAGCAGUGGUGUUCAGAAGACUGAUGCAAGUAGCAGUGGUCACCACUCGGUUGAAGGCGGCACUACUUUCACAGAAAUUAAUGAAACUUAUCCUCGUCCACCAGAGACUACUGAACAAGUUCCAGCACCCAUUCCAUACUUUCAUCCCCCUCCCACCGAAAAUAUCCCCACAUUUCUAAAUAAUCUUGGAACUGAAAUGCAGUCCAUUCACAUGGAAGGUGGACAAGAUUUAAAAGUUCUCAACAUGUCUACACCAAGCAGUGUUAAUUCCACAGAUUUUAAUAAUUCCACUUUCACUACAGUUGCUAGUCCUGCAUCGGCAAAUAAUAAUGGGACAAUAGUUUCUCCAUUCUCAGAAGUCAGUUCGCAGCAGAUGAAUGAUCACAUCUUUACUCCGCCCCUAUCAUCAACUAUGUUUGACCAAGAAAAUCCACAGCCAAUUUAUGACCAUAAGCAAGAACAGUUCACCGAUGCGGGACAAAAUUUUCCACCUAAUUUCUUUCAGUCCACUCCGAUUUCUCAUGAUCAUCACCAUCAUAGCAAGUCACCUUAUGAACCACAAGAUUUUUAUUAUAAUCUGCCCCAACCAUCAGCACCACUGUUUUUCAAUGUCAAUGGAGGUUUUAUAACUCCUCAACAUCAGGGAACUUCCCUCUCCAACAUUCAAGAUGAUCCUGAAAGCCAAAGUGUCUUACAAGAGAAAGCCUCUCCAAACUCUAUGGAGGAAACAAUGUCACGCCAAGUAGUUGACACACAUUCACUGCGGAAUGGGGAAAAUUGUGAUGAAAAUAAUGACAACAAUCGUAAUUCAUUAAGUACCGAAAAGCCAAAAAAUGUUCACUUUAAUAUUUCCCAACAUGAUUUACCCGACAAUAUUCCUCUAUCUAUGGAGGAACCCAGUUUAAAAGAAGUAACACUGCAAAGAAUGUCACCAUCAUCCAUGCAGAGUGCAGACAUAGACGUUCGUGAAAUUCAAGCAUUUCAAAGACUAAAAUCGGUACAGGACGCGUUGGAAAUGCAACUAGAAGAGUCAAGAAGAGAUAAUGAACGGCUGUUAAAUCGACAAGCUGAGCUGCUUUUGCAACUCGAGGAUAACGACAAAAAUGUCCAGGAACUUCGUCGAGAACGAGAUAGAAGUAAAGAAGAUGCCAAAAAAUUAAUGCAACCAUUGACUAUCAAAUUCAACAAUCUGUAUGAAGAGAACCAAAGAAGCUUGAAAAAUUCUAAUGACGUUGGAAUGGAGCUUAGAAGUAAAUUGCAGGAAAAGUCGAAACAGUACGAAGAUAUGGAACAAGCCUUCAUUAUUGUGUCGAAAUCUAAAAUGGACUUGGCUGCAGAGCUCGAUCAGGAAAAAGAAAAAUCAAAAGAACUGGAGACGCAACUAUUGACAAGAGAUGAAUGUAUUGUUGACUUGAGAAAUAACGUUGCAAAAUUGGAGGAAAAGAUAAAAGUUGAGCAGCAGAAGGAUGGCAUUAUUCACCAAUUAGAAGACCAGAUUCGCCAUUAUCAAGUUCAAUCUGAAACCCUUCAACGAGAAUUGAGGAGGUCCAACAACAAGAUCGAAAGGCUGUUGGUGACCAGUGUAGCAAAGUCUUCACAUAAUGAUGAAACACCACUAAUGACAGCAGAUCCAAAAUCCAGUAUCCAUAAUCACAGUGACCACCACAUUGCCGCACAGGAGCACGGGCACAGCCACGAUGACCACGAUCAUCAUCAUGACCACCAUGGUCACGAGCAUGAUCAUCAUCACGAUGACCACCAUGGCCACGAACAUGACCAUCAUCACGAUGACCACCAUGGCCACGAACAUGACCAUCAUCACGAUGACCACCAUGGCCACGAACAUGUCGAACACGGUGCAACUGGGAAAACCAGCCCUACUAACGAGGUCGUUGAAAUGAAGAGACGCCUUCACCAUUUGGAGUGGGAAAAUUCCACAUUUCGGAACGAUCUUGAUAAGUUGGCAAUUGAAGCGAAAGAGAGGCGCAACUUUGAAGAAAAUUUCAAUAAAAUGUCAGAGGAAUGUCGAAAACUGAAAACCAUUAAUAAUAACACUUCAUGACGUUGUCUAUACUUAAACGAUGAAAAUGGGACAUGACAUUUUGGACAUUCAAUUUGUAAUUCAUGCAAUUUUUCGUGUCUCAGUUUCGAUUCUACAGAGUUAGUAACUACAUGACAGAUUUUACAAGAAUUGUCACAGUCAGGAUGAGCAUAAGUUACAUGUCUCGCUAAAGUAUUGCUAUCGUAUUCAACCCCACAAAUGACACACUCAUGUUUAUUGACUUUUACGGUUGUAGAACGUCUUUGGGGAGUUAAAUUGAAAGCAUCAAAUGAGGUACAAAAUUCAGUUAUAGAUUGUCUAUUACAUUUUAUGUCAUGGUCUGGGUACAUUGGACUAAAAUGCACAUCAACUGUAUCGAAUAGACUAUGUAAAUUCCUAUCGAAAUUUAUGUGGAAACUGUCGCAGUUAACGUACCUUUCCAUGAGUAUUUCAAAAUCUAAAUGUUCCCAGUACCGUGCAUGAUAAUUGGUCGAAGAAUUAUUAGCUGCAUCAUACAGAGGAAGGUAUUUAGCAGGGUCGUGUAUAUUCUGGUAUUGCCAUAACUUUGAAACAAAAUGGGAUAAAGCUUCGACAGCAUGACAUGAACUGUUAAUUGGACUGUUUUGUCUUUCACGGAACGUGAUAUCGAACAAUAAUAUAAACUCUACUUGCGGAUGUGUCGCAUAUUUGUAGGUGUAGACACCAGGUGUACCAUCAACUGGAACGUAAGUUGGACACACUUUUUUACCCUCAUCUCUGACGGUUGAUACCCUUAAUGAUAAGAUGGGUUUUGUCACACACCAAAAUUGGCAUCUGUAUCCUCGUCGUACUUGACACAUAGCAUUAUGUUCGUUGAUAACGUCUUCUUUGGUUUUGGUUGGUAAAGUGUAGGGGAGUAUUUGUUCGGAAUGGGCCGAGUCGUCAUCAUCAUUCAUGUGAUCAGAGUGGGGGUGGGCUUGUCCGUGGUCAGAAUCCGAAUCGUCACCUUCAUUCGUUCGUUCCAUGGGAGAGUGGUCGGUAUCGGGGGCAGAUUCCGAGUCGUCAUCAUCAUUCAUGUGAUCAGAGUGGGGGUGGGCUUGUCCGUGGUCAGAAUCCGAUUCCGAGUCGUCAUCAUACGUGUAGGACACCUUCUUUCGCUUCCUCAAACUCCUACCACCUAAAAAAACAAUAAAGUCAAUGUUAUUAAUAAUAGUAAUAUUUAAUAUGCUGUGUCGUGGGGGUGGGUGAAAUAAGAGGGUAGAAAACUUACGCCCUUCCGUGUUUUGGUGGUCGGUGUCAGGGGAAGAAUCCGAGUCGUCAACAGCACUCGCGGGUUCCAUUUGGGGGUGGUCGGUGUCAGGGGGAUUCCGAGUUGUUUUCCGAGAAGGUCGUUUUUUGGGUGGGGCCAUCUUUGCGCCCUGAAAAGGACUUAAACAAAGAGGUAAACAGUGGUGGAAAGUGUGGAAGGUUUGAGAGGUGGAGGAGAGAGGAAGAAAAACACGUGAAACUCGCUGGCAGUGCAGACGAGUUGUGUGAGAACUUCUCCAUUUUUCUUCCUUGAUGGCAAAGGGAUGCCAAGCUUUCGUUAUCAGUUAAUACGAAAAUAGAGUGAGGAGGACGAAGGUAGCGUCGGUUUAUUUUUAAAAUUAAUAAAUUUGCUUGAUAAGUAAAAUAAAUAAAAUAAAUUUGCAUGAUAUUUCAACCUGUUUUUAAAAAUGUAAUAUUGGUUUAGGCUUCUCGAGUGCCAAGAGUUAGAAUCGCUUGUUAUUCAACUACAAGGCGAAAACGAUACAAUUGGGGAUUACAU